AAAGGUACAUGAUCAAUAGCAAGUCAUAGACAAACAGUCAUUGUACGAGCCCAGAACCAGCAGGGCACGCCUUGGUCCCGUGCUUCUGCUCAAGCAUUCAGUGCUUCUAGCCAGCUGGGGUUCCGUGAUUUCGCCCAGCUAGGUGUUGAUGCAGCGGCUUGCAGGAGAGUGGCCACGUGUGCAGCGAUCCCUGGUGUUGCUCCUGGUGCUCCUGCUGCUGCAGAGCAUUGCCCACAGGUGUUCACAUCGCGAGAGGAGGAGGUGUUUUCUGCAGUUAAAAAGUGGUCAGGACAGCACGCCGCUGCCGGGGCCUGCAGGAGCAUCUCCUCGGCUCAGGCAUUCACGGAGCUCAACUCGGAACAGAGCUAGCUAGAGGCACAGCAGACGUCGAUCGAAACCUUCUCGUUGUGUACGGCUUGAAACUGUUUCUCGUUCGUUAGUCAGCCCGCUGAAGUACUUUGCCAGGAAGCUGGGCGUUGCGCCCGAGCCUGCGGGCACCUGCGUGGUGUGACCGCCCCGCGGGCGGCCCUCGCCGACAGCUCCUGCUCACGUCCUCGCGGCUGGAGCUCUGGGCGCCCUGCAUCCGCACGUGCUUUCGUGUGCGAAACGUGUGUUGAAAAAUCAUCUGUGGUACGUAGUUGCACUUGAGGUUACCUGAAAGGGAAGUCGUGCUGCUCUGCUGCUGGAAGCCCGGAGCUGGCACCCGCGGCGGUUGGUAGCAGUGAUUUUGCACUGAAACUUUCUCUCUUUUCCUGCUCAUCUCAUGCUCAUACUUAAACACCAAGCUAUGACUGACUUCCCGAGGCAAUCUGAAGGAAGGACUUUGUGUUGAAAAUCGCCUCUUUUCUUUCCUGGGGUCGGGCGACACCAGCCUGUACGCAGCAGCGCGUUUUGUCCUGGCUCAAACCGCCCGGCAGGCAAAGUGCGCUCGUUUGCAGUGGCACCUUACAGAGCAGGGCCGAGUCCUCUGUCGGGGGUUUGUCAGAUACCUGAAACUUGCCAGUAUCAGUUAGAAUACAAAGGGCACUAAACUUGCCUUAAAGUGCAUUGAUCACGUGUAAUUUAAAAUUCUGUGUUCUUAUUCUUUCAGAAACAAAAAACGUAAAGAAAACCAUUAAUUACCUCAUGCUAUAAAUUUAUGUAAAUUGUUGACUGUAACAUAAGGAUCACUUGAAUAUAUGCAUGUUACAUGAAAAUGUUAGAAGUUAAAAGAAGAGUAUUUACUAAAUAACAUAGUGAAUUGUAAUAGUUAAGUCAGUGUUGAGUUCCUUUACAUGAUUUGAAAGAGUAUCUUUGUAAAAAAUCAUCUUUGCAAUCAUUUUCAAAGCAGCAUUUUCUUUUUGCCUGAGACUUUGAACAGACUUUUCUUUCCU
rnacentral:lncRNA from 1 species